AGCAUAUCAAUAAGCGGAGGAAAAGAAACCAACAGGGAUUGCCCUAGUAACGGCGAGUGAAGCGGCAACAGCUCAAAUUUGAAAUCUGGCUUCGGCCCGAGUUGUGAUUUGUAGAGGAUGCUUUUGGCGAGGUGCCUUCUGAGUUCCCUGGAACGGGACGCCAGAGAGGGUGAGAGCCCCGUAUAGUCGGACACCUAGCCUCUGUAAAGCUCCUUCGACGAGUCGAGUAGUUUGGGAAUGCUGCUCAAAAUGGGAGGUAUAUCUCUUCUAAAGCUAAAUAUAGGCCAGAGACCGAUAGCGCACAAGUAGAGUGAUCGAAAGAUGAAAAGCACUUUGAAAAGAGGGUUAAAUAGCACGUGAAAUUGUUGAAAGGGAAGCGCUUGUCACCAGACUUGUGCCCGGCUGAUCAUCCAGUGUUCUCACUGGUGCACUCGACCGGGCUCAGGCCAGCGUCGGUUCUCGCAGGGGGAUAAAAGCUUCGGGAACGUGGCUCCUCCGGGAGUGUUAUAGCCCGUUGCUUAAUACCCUUGCGGGGACCGAGGUUCGCGCUCUGCAAGGACGCUGGCAUAAUGGUGACCAGCGACCCGUCU
rnacentral:rRNA from 1 species